rnacentral:misc_RNA from 1 species
CAUUCUACUUUCGUUUUGACCGGAAGUGUUUUGACACGUCAGUAUCAUUCCAGAUUUUUGAGAAUAACGGAAACGUUCUUUGUCCGGAAAGAAUUAGAAACAUCUUAAAUGAAAGACGAUGGAGUCGUUGUACCAUCAAACAUACAGACUUAUUCAAGAAGUUCAGAGUGAUCUAGGAAAAUACGAACGAGCCACAGGAGAGCAUGUACAUCUGGUAGAAAAUGAGAUACAGGCUCAUAUAGACCUCGUAGUGAGUAACUGUGAGAGGUUAGAUAUCUUGGUAAACAAGGAACCACCAACACGUAGAAGUAAUGCCAAAAUGAAAGCUGAUCAGUUAAAAUAUGAUUGCCAGCACUUACAGUCGGCACUUCGUCAACUUCAGCAUAGAAGGUAUCAGAAAGAACAAGAAGAAAGAGAUCGAGAAGCUCUCCUUACGCGGAGGUUUGAACGAAAUGACGCAGACACGACAAUCGCUAUGGAUGCUGCACUGCAACAUAACACAAAGCUUAACGAUGCAAAUCGUGAGAUGGACAACUUGUUAGGGCAUGGGUCAAGUUUAUUAACAAAUUUAAAAGAACAGCGUUACACUCUGAAAAAUGCACACAAAAAGAUUCUUGAUAUAGCAAAUACAUUAGGGCUUUCAAACACGGUGAUGAGAUUUAUAGAACGUCGGACAACACAGGAUAAAUAUAUUCUAUAUACUGGAAUGAUUGUGACAUGUAUAAUCAUGUUCCUAGCUUGGAAAUAUUUAACAUGAAUGAUGGAUUUGUGAGUAGUGCAAUUUUUUAAAGUCAGGAUGGACAUAUUUCUGGUAGUGAGGACCGAUGGUCUCUGUUUAGGAGUACAGGCCUACAAAGAACAUAACUCUUAAGAAGUUAAAUCUAACAUUUCUCAAUAGGAUGCAAAAAAGUGCGAAGCAAAAAGUUCUGUCACCUUUAAAGUUUUCAUUAUUCCAGCUUAUAUGAAAUACACAGAAGUUACAUUUUGAUAGCAGAUUUUUUUGGUUAGUAACAUUUUUCCAAGCCUAACAUUGUUUGCCAUUUAAUUAAAAGAUGGAAUGAGACAA